rnacentral:rRNA from 1 species
GACGGAGGGUGCAAGCGUUGUUCGGAAUUACUGGGCGUAAAGGGCGCGUAGGUGGCCUGUUAAGUUCGGUGUGAAAGCCCCUGGCUCAACCCCAAGCCUGCACUGGAUACUGCCUCGCUUGAGUCCGGGAGGGGAGAGCGGAAUUCCUAGUGUAGCGGUGAAAUGCGCAGAUAUUAGGAAGAACACCGGUGGCGAAGGCGGCUCUCUGGAACGGUACUGACGCUGAGACGCGAAAGCGUGGGGAGCGAACAGG